AGCUUUAUAGUUUAGGUAGAACAUUAAAUUGCAAGUUUAAAAGAGUUGGUUUGGCUAAAGCUU
rnacentral:tRNA from 1 species